rnacentral:misc_RNA from 1 species
GAUGAAGAACGCAGCGAAAUGCGAUAAGUAAUGUGAAUUGCAGAAUUCAGUGAAUCAUUGAAUCUUUGAACGCACAUUGCGCCCGCCAGCAUUCUGGCGGGCAUGCCUGUUCGAGCGUCAUUUCAACCCUCGCAGCCCAUCUGGGCAGCGGUGUUGGGGACCGGCACCACCGGCGAAGCCCUUAGGGGCCCAGCCGGCGCCGCCCCCGAAAUACAGUGGCGGUCUCGCUGCAGCCUCCCUUGCGUAGUAGCACACCUCGCACCGGAGCGCAGCGCGGCCACGCCGUAAAACCCCCGACUUUCUGAGUUUGACCUCGAAUCAGGUAGGAAUACCCGCUGAACUUAAGCAUAUCAAUAAGCGGAGGA